CGUAAGUAAACAGCUGCCGUUUCGAUAAGAAAUGAAGAAACAUUUCAUUAUGUAAUCUCUGUUUGCUGGCUUAAUGUUCUAGGAAUACUUGAAAAUGUGAAAAGCAGCGCAAUUGAUAGUGUUGGUGAUGAAAAGGAGUACUGUGUUUUAGGCUCUGGUAUUGGGUAAGGGGCAAUCAGCAAUUGACGAUGUGUUCCGACAAGUUAAGGAGAAAAAUGACGGUAAAAUAUAUGCAGACUAGUGUCAGUAUAAAAUGAAGGGCAGCAACAGAACGCUGGUUCAGCUGCAUUACGAUAUGGUGAUUGACGAGAGAACAUACAAGGAUGGUUUCAGAAAGGAUGUCAAGCACAAGGGUGUAUCCUGCGAGACACAUAGCGUUGUAAGUCAGACUGCAAAUCGUCGAAGAAGAAUCGCAUCAAAAAGUGAGGAUAACCGCUGGCCCCUCGAAAUACCGUAUCAGACAGACACAGGAUUUGGCAAGUAGUUAUUGAAAGUUAUUAGAUAAUGCAAUGUUUCAUACGUUUGAUUUAAUUUAAACCUAAUUAUGCAUCGAACGUCUAAGUUUUAUUAAAAAGCUCUCGUGUCCGUUUCCUGUGUAGAAGCGAUACUUGAUGUCUUUCAUUGAGAUCUAAACUGGCAGAUAUGCAUUGAACAACAUUCCACGAAAUAAACCUUAUUGUUUAUGUUGUAAUGACACUGAUUUAGAAGACAAGUAUCGUUUCAUAUGUUUAUGCCAAGGUCGCCGUGGUGAACAUUUUGUAUUAACCCAUCUGUGUAUAAAUUCCACAAAUUAUUAGUUUCUUGUCAAAGUUAAGUAAUUUCCAAUGUAUGCAAAUAAAUAAAAAUAAGCUCUAGUUAUACGAAGUACGAUCCUAAAUCAUACUGUUUAUAAGAUCAUUUUUAGUAUAUGUUGUCAUUCUCAUGGUAUUGCACAAGCUAUUCUAGGACGACACUUUACGCGCAUACAUUAAGCCCAGUUUUCCCAGAGCGAGGAUAAUUUAUGCCUAUAACUUCGCCUAUUUUUUCCACCAAGGAGCUGCGAGUCGUUUGUAGGGAGAUUGAAAGGUCCCCAAUACAUCUUCCUGCAUAAGAGAAAUUGUAUGACGUUGCCGAUCAUUUUACACGAGAUUGUGCACGCCAUUGUGGUCUAUACCAUGAGCACAUGAGGGAAGACCGGGACAAUUACCUCACUGUAAAUUAUAAAAACAUUAACCGGGCAUGCUACGACCAAUUUAAUACAUUUGCAGCGGACCAAUAUCUCGAUUUCAACAAGACAUAUGACUAUCACAGCAUAAUGCAUUACGGCAAACGUGUACAUUUUUUCGCCGACCCAAGCAAUGCUAUUUCAAUGGAACCGACUUACAAAUAUUACUCGGAUAUAAUUGGAGAAGCACAACACCUCAGCUUCCAUGAUGUACACACUGUGAACGCCAUGUAUAAAUGCUCAGAAAAGUGUGCUCACGUAGAAUGCCCGAAGGGUGCAUUUGUGGGGAAAACCUGCGAAUGCUUCUGUCAAGGACCUCUAAAAGAUCCUGUCGAACGAUGUAACAACUCAAACGGGAGGGGCUUACCAGUCAAAAACAUAUACAUAAAUUGACAAAAAAUCGCAGUUAACAACCUUAGUUGACAAUUCUUUUGAUUUUCAAAGAUUGUGAGUUACUGAAAUAAAUUUGAAAUCUUCUCCAUUCCCAUCAGUAAAUACAUAACUAUCAAAUUAAUCUGUAAAUAUUAGUAAAUGGCUUCAUUAACAUUUGUUCAUUUGCCAAUUUUUCCCUAUGCAUGUUAACUGUGAGACAGAUGUGUGGUGUUGGCAGCAACAAUUAAGUGUUGAGCAAGUGUAAAUAAUCCAAACUUCACAUACCUAUGAGAAACCCAUUCUACACAU